rnacentral:rRNA from 1 species
AGAGGCUUCGACAAUGCCCGAAAGGGUGAUCGAGCGACGCCGCGUGUGGGAUGACGGUCUUCGGAUUGUAAACCACUUUUGUUUGGGAAGAAGGCCUGUAUCGUGAAUACGGGAUUGACGGUACCAUAGGAAUAAGGACCGGCUAACUCCGUGCCAGCAGCCGCGGUAAUACGGAGGGUCCAAGCGUUAUCCGGAUUUAUUGGGUUUAAAGGGUACGUAGGCGGAAGAUUAAGUCAGUAGUGAAAGCCUCCCGCUCAACGGGAGAAUUGCUAUUGAUACUGAUUUUCUUGAAUAUAGUUGAAGUAGGCGGAAUACGACAUGUAGCGGUGAAAUGCAUAGAUAUGUCGUGGAACACCGAUCGCGAAGGCAGCUUACUAAGCUAUUAUUGACGCUGAUGUACGAAAGCGUGGGGAGCGAA